rnacentral:rRNA from 1 species
UGCUGUGAGCUCGAUGAGUAGGGCGGGACACGUGGUAUCCUGUCUGAAUAUGGGGGGACCAUCCUCCAAGGCUAAAUACUCCUGACUGACCGAUAGUGAACCAGUACCGUGAGGGAAAGGCGAAAAGAACCCCGGCGAGGGGAGUGAAAAAGAACCUGAAACCGUGUACGUACAAGCAGUGGGAGCACCCUUUGGGGUGUGACUGCGUACCUUUUGUAUAAUGGGUCAGCGACUUAUAUUCUGUAGCAAGGUUAACCGAAUAGGGGAGCCGGAGGGAAACCGAGUCUUAACCGGGCGUUAAGUUGCAGGGUAUAGACCCGAAACCCGGUGAUCUAGCCAUGGGCAGGUUGAAGGUUGGGUAACACUAACUGGAGGACCGAACCGACUAAUGUUGAAAAAUUAGCGGAUGACCUGUGGCUGGGGGUGAAAGGCCAAUCAAACCGGGAGAUAGCUGGUUCUCCCCGAAAGCUAUUUAGGUAGCGCCUCGUGAAUUCAUCUCCGGGGGUAGAGCACUGUUUCGGCUAGGGGGCCAUCCCGGCUUACCAACCCGAUGCAAACUGCGAAUACCGGAGAAUGUUAUCACGGGAGACACACGGCGGGUGCUAACGUCCGUCGUGAAGAGGGAAACAACCCAGACCGCCAGCUAAGGUCCCAAAGUCAUGGUUAAGUGGGAAACGAUGUGGGAAGGCCCAGACAGCCAGGAUGUUGGCUUAGAAGCAGCCAUCAUUUAAAGAAAGCGUAAUAGCUCACUGGUCGAGUCGGCCUGCGCGGAAGAUGUAACGGGGCUAAACCAUGCACCGAAGCUGCGGCAGCGACNUGCUGGAGGUAUCAGAAGUGCGAAUGCUGACAUAAGUAACGAUAAAGCGGGUGAAAAGCCCGCUCGCCGGAAGACCAAGGGUUCCUGUCCAACGUUAAUCGGGGCAGGGUGAGUCGACCCCUAAGGCGAGGCCGAAAGGCGUAGUCGAUGGGAAACGGGUUAAUAUUCCCGUACUUGGUGUUACUGCGAAGGGGGGACGGAGAAGGCUAUGUUGGCCGGGCGACGGUUGUCCCGGUUUAAGCGUGUAGGUGUGUGUUCCAGGUAAAUCCGGUUCACUUUAACACUGAGGCGUGACGACGAGGCACUACGGUGCUGAAGCAACAAAUGCCCUGCUUCCAGGAAAAGCCUCUAAGCAUCAGGUAACAUCAAAUCGUACCCCAAACCGACACAGGUGGUCAGGUAGAGAAUACCAAGGCGCUUGAGAGAACUCGGGUGAAGGAACUAGGCAAAAUGGUGCCGUAACUUCGGGAGAAGGCACGCUGACAUGUAGGUGAAGUGAUUUACUCAUGGAGCUGAAGUCAGUCGAAGAUACCAGCUGGCUGCAACUGUUUAUUAAAAACACAGCACUGUGCAAACACGAAAGUGGACGUAUACGGUGUGACGCCUGCCCGGUGCCGGAAGGUUAAUUGAUGGGGUCAGCGCAAGCGAAGCUCCUGAUCGAAGCCCCGGUAAACGGCGGCCGUAACUAUAACGGUCCUAAGGUAGCGAAAUUCCUUGUCGGGUAAGUUCCGACCUGCACGAAUGGCGUAAUGAUGGCCAGGCUGUCUCCACCCGAGACUCAGUGAAAUUGAACUCGCUGUGAAGAUGCAGUGUACCCGCGGCAAGACGGAAAGACCCCGUGAACCUUUACUAUAGCUUGACACUGAACAUUGAGCCUUGAUGUGUAGGAUAGGUGGGAGGCUUUGAAGUGUGGACGCCAGUCUGCAUGGAGCCGGCCUUGAAAUACCACCCUUUAAUGUUUGAUGUUCUAACGUGGACCCGUGAUCCGGGUUGCGGACAGUGUCUGGUGGGUAGUUUGACUGGGGCGGUCUCCUCCUAAAGAGUAACGGAGGAGCACGAAGGUUGGCUAAUCCUGGUCGGACAUCAGGAGGUUAGUGCAAUGGCAUAAGCCAGCUUGACUGCGAGCGUGACGGCGCGAGCAGGUGCGAAAGCAGGUCAUAGUGAUCCGGUGGUUCUGAAUGGAAGGGCCAUCGCUCAACGGAUAAAAGGUACUCCGGGGAUAACAGGCUGAUACCGCCCAAGAGUUCAUAUCGACGGCGGUGUUUGGCACCUCGAUGUCGGCUCAUCACAUCCUGGGGCUGAAGUAGGUCCCAAGGGUAUGGCUGUUCGCCAUUUAAAGUGGUACGCGAGCUGGGUUUAGAACGUCGUGAGACAGUUCGGUCCCUAUCUGCCGUGGGCGCUGGAGAACUGAGGGGGGCUGCUCCUAGUACGAGAGGACCGGAGUGGACGCAUCACUGGUGUUCGGGUUGUCAUGCCAAUGGCACUGCCCGGUAGCUAAAUGCGGAAGAGAUAAGUGCUGAAAGCAUCUAAGCACGAAACUUGCCCCGAGAUGAGUUCUCCCUGAGACUU